rnacentral:rRNA from 1 species
UAGGCGGGACCGGGUGAGUAAUGUCUGGAAACUGCCCGAUGGAGGGGAGUAACUACUGGAAACGGUAGCUAAUACCGCAUAACGUCGCAAGACCUAAAGAGGGGACCUUCGGGCCUCUUGCCAUCGGAUGUGCCCAGAUGGGAUUAGCUAGUAGGUGGGGUAACGGCUCACCUAGGCGACGAUCCCUAGCUGGUCUGAGAGGAUGACCAGCCACACUGGAACUGAGACACGGUCCAG